GAUGAACGCUGGCGGCGUGCCUAAUACAUGCAAGUCGAGCGAACAGACGAGGAGCUUGCUCCUCUGACGUUAGCGGCGGACGGGUGAGUAACACGUGGAUAACCUACCUAUAAGACUGGGAUAACUUCGGGAAACCGGAGCUAAUCCCGGAUAAUAUAUUGAACCGCAUGGUUCAAUAGUGAAAGACGGUUUUGCUGUCACUUAUAGAUGGAUCCGCGCCGCAUUAGCUAGUUGGUAAGGUAACGGCUUACCAAGGCAACGAUGCGUAGCCGACCUGAGAGGGUGAUCGGCCACCCUGGAACUGAGACACGGUCCAGACUCCUACGGGAGGCAGCAGUAGGGAAUCUUCCGCAAUGGGCGAAAGCCUGACGGAGCAACGCCGCGUGAGUGAUGAAGGUCUUCGGAUCGUAAAACUCUGUUAUUAGGGAAGAACAAAUGUGUAAGUAACUAUGCACGUCUUGACGGUACCUAAUCAGAAAGCCACGGCUAACUACGUG
rnacentral:rRNA from 1 species